rnacentral:tRNA from 1 species
GUGCCGGUAGCGCCAGUUGCCCGGCGCCUGGCUGAAGAACAUGGCGCGGGCUGCAAAGCUCUCGCGGACCAGUGUGGCGCCCGACUCCUGCCCGGCCCGCCA